UCAUCUCUUAACCAUCUCUUUCUUCUUCAUACCUCUAGAAAAUCUCUCCUUCGACUCUCAAAUUCAAGAUGCCAUAUGAAACCCUAACACCAUUGCUCAAAUUCUAAGACCCAUACUAUACAAAACCCUAAUGAGCUACAUCGUGUUACAGAAUAUCCACCAUGUUGCUACGCCAAAAGCUCCGAAAACUCUCUUUAGAUCU
rnacentral:lncRNA from 1 species